rnacentral:rRNA from 1 species
UACGAAGGGUGCAAGCGUUUAAUCGGAAUUACUGGGCGUAAAGCGCGCGUAGGUGGUUCAGCAAGUUGGAUGUGAAAUCCCCGGGCUCAACCUGGGAACUGCAUCCAAAACUACUGAGCUAGAGUACGGUAGAGGGUGGUGGAAUUUCCUGUGUAGCGGUGAAAUGCGUAGAUAUAGGAAGGAACACCAGUGGCGAAGGCGACCACCUGGACUGAUACUGACACUGAGGUGCGAAAGCGUGGGGAGCAAACAGG